GUUUUGGCAGUCUACCCACCAAAUCUCUGUGAAAAUAAUGAAUAAUCAUUCGUACCCAAUUCUACAAAUAAAAUGAUAUAGCAUAUCUUAUCUUCAUAAUUAAUUAAGUGGAUUUAUUAGCUAACAAUUGUAAAGAAAUGUUGUUGGUAUUGGUAUGAAAAUCACCUGAGCAGAGCCAUUUCUGGCGAUGUAAGUAGAGUAGUCAUUGCCUGAAAGAGUGACAAGGGCCAC
rnacentral:misc_RNA from 1 species